CAUUCCGAGGAGCGCUGCGAGACCGCUGUCACCCCCGACACGCCGUCCUAGGCUCGGAAUACGUCAAACCGCGCUCACCCCCU
rnacentral:ncRNA from 2 species